rnacentral:lncRNA from 1 species
GAGAUACCCAGGCAAGUCACAUCUCAUUCUCUCUAGACUGCACAUUAGACUUUCUCUACCAUGCCUCAUUCCCACAUAACCCACUUUCAGCUUUCUUUCAUGUAUUUCUUCCCCCAUUAGAAAGUAAGAUCCCUCAGGUCAGGGACUGUCUCUCAGCUCUAGCAUAGUGCCUGGCACAUAAAUGUUUAAUAAAAGCUUGUUGACUGAUUAACUUGUAAACCUUACAAAACCAUGUAAAUGCCAACUAUUAAAUAAAGCAGUGUGGUAUAGUGAGUGAAAGUGAGCCCCAAAGAUCUCCUGCCAGCAUAUAUGGACCAAGCAUAACUGAGCAAGUCACUUAAUCUCUCAGUUUAGCUGUCUAGGCCAGUGGCGUCAAACUCAAAUAGAAAUGGGCCCCCGAAUGGUCUAUAAGAAUUUAGCAGGAGCUGACAACAGGUAAAUGCCUUGAGGUGCUAGGACCGAGGACCCAGCAGGAUGUAAACACACUUGUCAGAUGCUGUAACCAGAAGUCAGCCAUGGUCUGAGGAGCCUGCUUUCACCAAGAGAGUGAAGAAAGAUGGUGGCACACAGGGUGAAGAUAGAAGAGUGAUUACCAAAAAUGGCUAUGAUUUGAAAACAAAAGAUAUUAAUAAAAUUUUAAAAAAAGGAGAGGAAGGAGGGAUAAAUGAAGUGAAGGAGAAAGGAAAAGGAAGAAGAUAUCAUCUUGUACAUAGUAGGUAACAGAUCUCUCUGAAGUCUAUCCCUGGACCCUUUGGAAGCGUCUAUGUUCCCCAGGUUAAGAACCCCUAGAUUAAAGGCAAACAGACAAUUUAUAAGCCUCACUGCUGUGCAUCAAAGAUGCUUUCUUUAAGAAAAAAAUGAAAAGACACAGGGCAAGGUAAGCAAAAAAUGAUAUCAGAAAGUGAGAUUGAUUACAACAUAUGGGCAGGAAAUGAGUAGUUAUUGAUAAAACAGUCAUUUUACAAUUAGUUGUCUAUGUGCAAUCAGAUAUCUAUUGGUCAUAACAAUGGUCAAAAUCAAUUAUAAACUCUCCCC